UAAUGUAUAAACUUUAAUUGGCAUAAAUGCUCUGAUCAGGGCAAAUUCAAUCGAAGAAUACAUUUUACAUUUUGAGUUUGAAUCACUUACAGUCACAAUAAACUGUUUACAUUUUCUGCUAAUGAACUUCAACCAUAUCAAAAAUGACUGACAUCAUCAAAUUAAUAACUAAAAGUUCAGGACAGUGUGAUGAUGCCUCUUCAUGUAAUCCAAAUAUUCUUCUUGUUUGAGCUUGUGGAGUUGAUUAUUAGCUCUGUGUGUUUAUGUAAAUCUUCUGUUGCAUAUUUAAACAGCAGACAUGAGUCAGUUUAUACAUUUAUCUGAUCACUAGAGGGAGAGAAGAACAAACUGUGCAGUGAAACACACCAUGAUCUCUUCAUCUUUAGUGUUGCUUCUGGCAGUAGUAUCCUGUAUUCAUUCAUAUGAACUCACUCAGCCUGAGUCUCUGACUGUCCGUCCUGAUGCCACUCUAACUAUCAACUGUAAAGUCUCAUAUUCAGUUACUAGUUCUAGUACAGCCUGGAUUCGUCAGCCUGCAGGAAAAGCUCUGGAAUGGAUUGGAGUGAUCUGGUAUGAUGGAAGCUUAUACUACAAGGAUUCACUGAAAAGCAAGUUCAGCAUCACCAGAGACACCUCCAGUAACACAAUAACACUGCAGGGAAAUAAUAUGCAAGCUCAAGACACAGCUGUGUAUUAUUGUGCCACACAGUGACAGACGCAAACAGCCUCCCUGUACAAAAACAUCAUCAUAUUCACAUUAGGGUAUUUAUCAUUUUGUCCUCAAAAGUUCAAAACCAAUUUUCAUAAAAUGUUCAUCAUUCAC